CCUACGGGAGGCAGCAGUGGGGAAUUUUGGUCAAUGGGCGCAAGCCUGAACCAGCCAUCCCGCAUGCAGGAUGAAGGCCUUCGGGUUGUAAACUGCUUUUGUACGGAACGAAACGGUUCUUUCUAAUAAAGAGGGCUAAUGACGGUACCGUAAGAAGAAGCACCGGCUAACUACGUGCCAGCAGCCGCGGUAAUACGUAGGGUGCGAGCGUUAAUCGGAAUUACUGGGCGUAAAGCGUGCGCAGGCGGUUUUGUAAGACAGAUGUGAAAUCCCCGGGCUUAACCUGGGAACUGCAUUUGUGACUGCAAGGCUAGAGUGCGGCAGAGGGGGGUAGAAUUCCACGUGUAGCAGUGAAAUGCGUAGAGAUGUGGAGGAACACCAAUGGCGAAGGCAGCCCCCUGGGUCGAUACUGACGCUCAUGCACGAAAGCGUGGGGAGUAAACAGGAUUAGAUACCCUGGUAGUCCACGCCCUAAACGAUGUCAACUAGGUGUUGGGGGAGGAGACUCUCUUAGUACCGCAGCUAACGCGUGAAGUUGACCGCCUGGGGAGUACGGCCGCAAGGUUGAGACUCAAAGGAAUUGACGGGGACCCGCACAAGCGGUGGAUUAUGUGGAUUAAUUCGAUGCAACGCGAAAAACCUCACCUACCCUUGACAUGGUCGGAAUCCUGAAGAGAUUUAGGAGUGCUCGAAAGAGAACCGAUACACAGGUGCUGCAUGGCUGUCGUCAGCUCGUGUCGUGAGAUGUUGGGUUAAGUCCCGCAACGAGCGCAACCCUUGUCAUUAAUUGCCAUCAUUCAGUUGGGCACUUUAAUGAGACUGCCGGUGAUAAACCGGAGGAAGGUGGGGAUGACGUCAAGUCCUCAUGGCCCUUAUGAGUAGGGCUUCACACGUAAUACAAUGGUCGGUACAGAGGGUCGCCAACCCGCGAGGGGGAGCCAAUCUCAGAAAGCCGAUCGUAGUCCGGAUUGUUCUCUGCAACUCGAGAGCAUGAAGUCGGAAUCGCUAGUAAUCGCGGAUCAGC
rnacentral:rRNA from 1 species